UUGGCACAAUAAACCUUGAUUCAACACACACUGUACUGCCAAGCCUCUUUCUGCUUAUAGCCAUCAUCAUUAUAGUCAUCGUUGUAUUCCUUAUCCUGCUGGGGAUUGCAAUGGCCAACCUUAUUUUUCAAUUCCUUGAGCUGCAUGACUGACAACGUCUGGAAGGAACCUGCAUUAUCUGAGGUCAACAGACUGUCCUUUGAGGCUUUGCAAGUUUGUUGGCAAGGUGGUUGAUCUUACUCCAGUGUAAAUCGCCUUCUCCAUCAUUAUUUUUGGAUCAAAGAUGUCUUAAAUGUUUUGAAAUUGGA